rnacentral:rRNA from 1 species
CCUACGGGUGGCAGCAGUGAGGAAUAUUGGUCAAUGGGCGCGAGCCUGAACCAGCCAAGCCGCGUGAAGGAUGACUGCCCUACGGGUUGUAAACUUCUUUUGUAAGGGGAUAAAGUGCGGCACGUGUGCCUUUUUGUAUGUACUUUAUGAAUAAGGAUCGGCUAACUCCGUGCCAGCAGCCGCGGUAAUACGGAGGAUCCGAGCGUUAUCCGGAUUUAUUGGGUUUAAAGGGAGCGUAGGUGGGUUGAUAAGUCAGUUGUGAAAGGGCGGGGCUCAACCGCGAGAUUGCAAUUGAUACUGGCAGCCUUGAGUACAGUUGAGGUAGGCGGAAUGCGUGGUGUAGCGGUGAAAUGCUUAGAUAUCACGAAGAACUCCGAUUGCGAAGGCAGCCUACUAAACUGCCACUGACACUGAUGCUCGAAAGUGUGGGUAUCGAACAGGAUUAGAUACCCCAGUAGUC